CCUACGGUGGCUGCAGUGAGGAAUAUUGGUCAAUGGCCGGAAGGCUGAACCAGCCAAGCCGCGUGAAGGACGAAGGUGCCAAGCAUUGUAAACUUCUUUUGUCAAGGGACAAAAUCAGGCUCGAGAGCCUGACCGAGGGUACUUGAAGAAAAAGCAUCGGCUAACUCCGUGCCAGCAGCCGCGGUAAUACGUAGGGUGCGAGCGUUAAUCGGAAUUACUGGGCGUAAAGGGUGUGCAGGCGGCUGAGUAAGACAGAUGUGAAAUCCCCGGGCUUAACCUGGGAACCGCAUAUGUGACUGCUUGGCUAGAGUGCGUCAGAGGGAGGUGGAAUUCCACGUGUAGCAGUGAAAUGCGUAGAUAUGUGGAAGAACACCGAUGGCGAAGGCAGCCUCCUGGGACGCAACUGACGCUCAUACACGAAAGCGUGGGGAGCAAACAGGAUUAGAUACCCGUGUAGUC
rnacentral:rRNA from 1 species